rnacentral:rRNA from 1 species
CCUACGGGUGGCAGCAGCAGGGAAUAUUGUGCAAUGAGCGAAAGCUUGACACAGCGACACCGCGUGUGGGAUGACGGUUCUAGGAUUGUAAACCACUUUCAGGAGGGAAGAAAAUGACGGUACCUCCACAAGAAGACCCGGCCAACUAUGUGCCAGCAGCCGCGGUAAUACAUAGGGGUCAAGCGUUGUCCGGAUUUAUUGGGCGUAAAGAGCUCGUAGGCGGUUCAACAAGUCGGUCGUAAAAGUUUAGGGCUCAACCCUAAAAUGUCGAUCGAUACUGUUGUGACUAGGAUACGGUAGAGGUGAAUGGAAUUCCGAGUGUAGCGGUGAAAUGCGUAGAUAUUCGGAGGAACACCAAUUGCGAAGGCAGUUCACUGGACCGUGAUCGACGCUGAGGAGCGAAAGCUAGGGGAGCAAACAGGAUUAGAUACCCUGGUAGUCCUAGCUGUAAACGAUGGAUACUAGAUGUAGGAACUGGAUUGACGGUUUCUGUAUCGUAGCUAACGCGUUAAGUAUCCCGCCUGGGGAGUACGGUCGCAAGACUAAAACUCAAAGGAAUUGACGG